rnacentral:rRNA from 1 species
AUUCCGGAUAACGCACAUAUGCUGGAAUGCUUUUUGCGUAAAAUGGAUUCGUCUGCCCAAGGAUGGGUCUGCGGCCUAUCACGUAGUAGUGGGUGAAAUGUACCUACUAGCCUACGACGGGUACGGGUUGUGAGAGCAAGAGCCCGGAGAUGGAUUCUGAGACAUGAAUCCAGGCCCUACGGGGCGCAGCAGGCGCGAAAACUUUACAAUGCGGGAAACCGUGAUAAGGGGACACCGAGUGCCAGCAUCCUAUGCUGGCUGUCCGGGUGUGUAAAAUACACCUGUUAGCAAGGGCCGGGCAAGACCGGUGCCAGCCGCCGCGGUAACACCGGCGGCCCGAGUGGUGAUCGUGAUUAUUGGGUCUAAAGGGUCCGUAGCCGGUUUGGUCAGUCCUCCGGGAAAUCUGACAGCUCAACUGUUAGGCUAUCGGAGGAUACUGCCAGACUUGGAACCGGGAGAGGUAAGAGGUACUACAGGGGUAGGAGUGAAAUCUUGUAAUCCCUGUGGGACCACCUGUGGCGAAGGCGUCUUACCAGAACGGGUUCGGCGGUGAGGGACGAAAGCUGGGGGCACGAACCGGAUUAGAUACCCGGGUAGUCCCAGCCGUAAACGAUGCUCGCUAGGUGUCAGGCAUGGCGCGACCGUGUCUGGUGCCGCAGGGAAGCCGUGAAGCGAGCCACCUGGGAAGUACGGCCGCAAGGCUGAAACUUAA